CACACCUUAAUCUAAAAUGGUUGAUUGUGGAUGGGUGUGGAAGACUCAUGUUUCCAAGCUGGAUUUCUUCCCUCACUAAUUUGGUGGGACUUCGAAUUGAUAACUGCAAAAAAUGCCAGCAUUUUCCACCGUUGGAUCAGUUCCCUUCACUUAAAUGUUUGAGGAUUGAGAAUUUAACUGAUCUGGAGUGCAUAGAGAGUGGGAUUAAUUGCGACAAUGCAUUAUUCUUCCCUUCCUUAGAGAAACUCUGGCUCUCAAAUUGCGCAAAUCUGAAGGGAUGGAGGAGGGAUUCAUCCACGCCUCAGUUGCUACAAUUUCACCGUCUUGAUUAUUUGGAAAUCAUGUCUUGCCCUAACCUCACUUCAAUGCCUCUCAUUCCAUUUUGGCAUUGGUAAAUGCCACCAAGAAGUCAUUGGAGGACAUACUGAAGAUGAAGAUUUCGGUGUCACAAUCUACCUCUUCUUGUUCUUUGAUUUCCCCUUCUCAACUGAAAAUUCUGCAAAGCGAGAAUAUUCAUGAUCUAGAAUUUCUGCCAGAGGAGUUGCUGCUAGAGGAGCUUGAUUUACCCGAUUCAGAGGAUCAUAGAGACAUGCCAUGGUAGUUCCUUAGAAGCCUCCGGGAGUUUCAAUUGAUAAAUAUGAACAAAUUGGCGUCCCUUCCAAAGGGACUUCAACAUGUUCCCACCCUACGCAAACUCUCAAUUGAUAGUUGUCCUAAUUUGAAAUCUUUACCAGAGUGGAUGGAAAGCCUCACCUAAUUGCAAUAUUUAUGGAUUAAAUUAUGUCCUCAACUAUCAGAAAGAUGCAAAAACAACAUGGGUGUUGAUUGGCCCAAAAUUGCUCGCAUCCCAAAUAUUAGUAUUGACGAUAGAUGGAUUCAAGUGUAUGGCUGCUACAAACUAAGAUCAGAAGAAUCAGAUCGACUACUCUUGGGAUAGAAUGUACUGCAACUGCUUCUGAACUUUAGGAUGGGGAUUCAUUGAGUAGCUUCAUAUAUGAAAUUUCGAUGAAGGGCAUUGUCAUUGAUCAACUUCUCAUCACAUUCCUUUUUUUUAAGUCGAGUUGCCACUAUGAAGAAGUCCCACAAUCCCUUGUAGCUGGUAGGGCUGUGCACGGUUCUUGGGGGAACCGAACCGAACUGAAGAACCGUACCGAACUGAAUUUAUUUUGAUACUUUGGUUCGGUUUUAGUUCUUCACU